rnacentral:rRNA from 14 species
CUGGCGAAAGGUUUCCAAUCGGCCCGUCUUGAAACACGGACCAAGGAGUCUAACAUGUAUGCGAGUUGGUGGGUGGAAAACCCAUGAAGCGCAAGUAACCUGACUGAUGGGAUGGCCUGUGCCUGCACCAUCGACCGACCAUGAGCUUCUGCGAAAGGUUUGAGUGCGAGCAUACCUGUUGGGACCCGAAAGAUGGUGAACUAUGCCUGAGCAGGGCGAAGCCAGAGGAAACUCUGGUGGAGGCUCGUAGAUGUGCUGACGUGCAAAUCGCUUUUCGGACUUGG